AUGAUGAUGAGAGCCCUAAAUUUGAGCUAAUGAUAUGGGCCCGUGUUCCUGAU
rnacentral:snoRNA from 1 species